rnacentral:lncRNA from 1 species
UUGUUGUUAUCUGUGUCAUUUGGUGUCUUAAUUGCAAUCAUACCACAUCUUCUUAUUUAUCAUCAGGAUUAUCAGAACACACAUUCUGAUAUCUUAUACAUAUACUAGUAUCUGGAUUCAGAUUGUCCUGUAAUUGCAAUAAUAAUUCUCACUUCUCCAUCUAUCCUCAAUGAUCACAAUAAUAAAUGCAUGCAAUUAUUUCUGAAUUAACAAUAAUACAAUGUUUGUGGUACUGUAUUCAUAUAAAAAGAAGAUGUGGUAUGAUUGUCUUUUCAUGUAUGAUAGCAGUAUGUUGCAUCAUCUUUAAUUUGUAGUCUUUCAUGAAAAGGUUGGAAUAAUUCCACCUAGUGAUCCUGAACAUUAGUUUGAAUAAAGUUCAACUUAGAUAUAUAAACUACCAUCA